rnacentral:rRNA from 1 species
AGGAUCCUACGGGACGCAGCAGUGAGGAAUAUUGGUCAAUGGACGCAAGUCUGAACCAGCCAAGUAGCGUGCGGGAUGACGGCCCUCCGGGUUGUAAGCUGCUUUUAGUUGGGAAUAAAAGGGGGCUCGUGAGCCCCGUAUUGUAUGUACCAUCAGAAAAAGGACCGGCUAAUUCCGUGCCAGCAGCCGCGGUAAUACGGAAGGUCCGGGCGUUAUCCGGAUUUAUUGGGUUUAAAGGGAGCGUAGGCCGGCUUUUAAGUCAGCUGUGAAAGUCCGCGGCUCAACAGUGGAAUUGCAGUUGAAAC